GGACGAACGCUGGCGGCGUGCUUAACACAUGCAAGUCGAGCGGUAAGGCCCUUUCGGGGGUACACGAGCGGCGAACGGGUGAGUAACACGUGGGUGACCUGCCCUCAGCUCUGGGAUAAGCCCGGGAAACUGGGUCUAAUACCGGAUAUGACUCCAUGACGCAUGUUGUGGGGUGGAAAGCCUUGUGCGGCUGAGGAUGGGCCCGCGGCCUAUCAGCUUGUUGGUGGGGUGAUGGCCUACCAAGGCGACGACGGGUAGCCGGCCUGAGAGGGCGACCGGCCACACUGGGACUGAGAUACGGCCCAGACUCCUACGGGAGGCAGCAGUGGGGAAUCUUGCGCAAUGGGCGAAAGCCUGACGCAGCGACGCCGCGUGAGGGAUGACGGCC
rnacentral:rRNA from 1 species